ACGCUAGCGAUAGGCUUAACACAUGCAAGUCGAGGGGCAGCAUGGUCUUAGCUUGCUAAGACUGAUGGCGACCGGCGCACGGGUGCGUAACGCGUAUGCAACUUGCCUCACAGAGGGGGAUAACCCGUCGAAAGACGGACUAAUACCGCGUACGCUCUAUGUUGGGCAUCCAAUGUAGAGGAAAUGAACUUCGCUGUGAGAUAGGUAUGCGUCCCAUUAGCUAGUUGGUGAGGUAACGGCUCACCAAGGCGACGAUGGGUAGGGGAACUGAGAGGUUGAACCCCCACACUGGUACUGAGACACGGACCAGACUCCUACGGGAGGCAGCAGUGAGGAAUAUUGGUCAAUGGGCGAGAGCCUGAACCAGCCAAGUCGCGUGAAGGAUGACUGUCUUAUGGAUUGUAAACUUCUUUUAUACGGGAAUAACAAGAGCCACGUGUGGCUCCCUGCAUGUACCGUAUGAAUAAGCAUCGGCUAACUCCGUACCAGCAGCCGCGGUAAUACGGAGGAUGCGAGCGUUAUCCGGAUUUAUUGGGUUUAAAGGGUGCGUAGGCGGCCUGUUAAGUCAGCGGUGAAAUCUAGGAGCUUAACUCCUAAAUUGCCAUUGAUACUGGCGGGCUUGAGUGUAGAUGAGGUAGGCGGAAUGCGCGGUGUAGCGGUGGAAUGCAUAGAUAUCACGCAGAACUCCGAUUGCGAAGGCAGCUUACUAAGGUACAACUGACGCUGAAGCACGAAAGCGUGGGUAUCAAACAGGAUUAGAUACCCUGGUAGUCCACGCAGUAAACGAUGAUAACUGGGCGUAUGCGAUAUACAGUAUGCUCCUAAGCGAAAGCGUUAAGUUAUCCACCUGGGGAGUACGCCGGCAACGGUGAAACUCAAAGGAAUUGACGGGGGCCCGCACAAGCGGAGGAACAUGUGGU
rnacentral:rRNA from 1 species